rnacentral:misc_RNA from 1 species
GUGAAUCAUCGAAUCUUUGAACGCAAAUUGCACUCUCUGGUAUUCCGGAGAGUAUGCCUGUUUGAGGGUCAGUUUAAAUAAAAAUCGGUGUGGUUGUUGCCUUUCGUGGUGACGCACCGGAUUUGGGUCGUCUUGCCUUCGGUUAAGUGACCUAAAAUUUUGCAUGAUUUUUUGAAAGUUAUUUAAUUGUUUUAAGUAAGGUUUCGGUAUCCGA